rnacentral:rRNA from 1 species
UGGGGAAUAUUGCGCAAUGGGCGAAAGCCUGACGCAGCAACGCCGCGUGGGGGAUGACGGCCUUCGGGUUGUAAACCCCUUUCAGCAGGGACGAAACUGACGGUACCUGCAGAAGAAGCCCCGGCCAACUACGUGCCAGCAGCCGCGGUAAUACGUAGGGGGCGAGCGUUGUCCGGAUUCAUUGGGCGUAAAGAGCUCGUAGGCGGUUUAGCAAGUCGGGUGUGAAAUCUCCAGGCUCAACCUGGAGCGGCCAUUCGAUACUGCUAUGACUAGAGUCCAGUAGGGGAGUGUGGAAUUCCCGGUGUAGCGGUGAAAUGCGCAGAUAUCGGGAGGAACACCGGCGGCGAAGGCGGCACUCUGGGCUGGUACUGACGCUGAGGAGCGAAAGCGUGGGGAGCAAACAG